GCUAUAUGCCUAAUUCUAUCCAUUGUUUACUGCAUUGCAUUUGAUUUUCUAUAACAAAUAAAAUUGAAUUCUCCAUUGAUUGCGCCGACGCUCACAUUAUAAUUAUAUGCUAUUAUUAUUGACUAGUCAUAUAUUUUCUUGGCGGGUGGGGGCUGCACUGGUGGCGUUCUACGAAUUUGCGCCGCGUUUGUGCGGGUAAGCUUAAGUGCAGAAUUUUUUUUGCGCGUUAUGAAAACAAUGCACUGCAGGUAUUUUAAUUAAUGCAACGAGCUGUAUGAAAUAUCGGUCAAGGGGUUGGAAACGUCGUUAUAGAGAAUCCCGACGAUUUUUCUUUUGCGUGUGUGUAUUUGGAGUUGAUUCACAGUUUUAUUUGUUUAUUUUGGCUACAUUGCGCCAAUUGCGCUUCCAUAGAAUAAAGAAACGCGCUUCCACGCGCUUGCCGACUCGAUCGCAAGGGGACAGCCUGAUCAACAUCAAUAUCAGCAGCAAUGGCGGAUUUGCGCUUGCCAUGGCGCUUGCAAAGUUUUCAAUAGUUUUCGACUACUAAGUGAUGCUUUUGCUAUUUUAACGUGUGGAGGUUCAUUGUACGUCUGUUUUUUCAAGUUUGGCAUGUGUUUUAACACGUGAAGGUGUAGUCUUUUCUUCUUCAGCGGAUAUUUGUACAAGACCCCGUUCACCGUCUAUCAGCUCUAGCUCGGCAAGAAUAAAGCGGUUCCUUAGAAGUGGUGGAGGUGCUGGGGUUCUGCAUACCAAGGACGUAUAAGGUCACAAAGCUGCACCCAGGUAGAGGCAGAAUCCAAAAAUGCUUGUGUACUUCAACUAUAGCUGCACAUUACAGAAUCCGAGGCCCUCAAGAUUUAUCCGUAGCCCUCGUGUAGCCCACGAGUUCCAUAUUUUUUAUUGGGAUUGAAGAGUAACGUUUGUGCUGUAUCCCUCUAUUUCAGACUAAAUAAUGUGCAUGCAAAAUUAUAUCUUCAUUACUUUACACCAUUGCACCAAUAUCUGUUGUGCGUUGAUUUUCUGAUGUCCUUGCAUUUGCUAUAGCAAGGAUUUUUAAAAAUAACUAUAGCUGCACAUUACAGAAUCCGAGGCCCUCAAGAUUUAUCCGUAGCCCUCGUGUAGCCCACGAGUUCCAUAUUUUUUAUUGGGAUUGAAGAGUAACGUUUGUGCUGUAUCCCUCUAUUUCAGACUAAAUAAUGUGCAUGCAAAAUUAUAUCUUCAUUACUUUACACCAUUGCACCAAUAUCUGUUGUGCGUUGAUUUUCUGAUGUCCUUGCAUUUGCUAUAGCAAGGAUUUUUAAAAAUCAGCCACAAAAGAAAAAAUAAAUGGUCAAGGAACGAAGUGGUGUGUAGCAGCUCCCUUUUUUUUAAUCGCCGGCAAGUUUCGCACUCGUGUGUUAGCAACACUGUUUCGCCAGUUGUGUACUUCAAAAGAAGUGUUACCUUUCUGCUUUGGAACUUUGUGGUUUUGUUCUGCCAGCUGCUUGACCAACACAAGCAAAAUGUACUUUGGAUAUUCCACAAAUUCAUUCUGUAUGCAUUUGGUACAAUAAAAUUUGUUUCAAGAAUGGACAAA